UACGUAGGGGCCGAGCGUUGUCCGGAAUCAUUGGGCGUAAAGAGCGUGUAGGCGGCCCCUUAAGUCCUGCGUGAAAUCCUGCGGCUCAACCGCAGACGGUCGUGGGAAACUGGAGGGCUAGAGUGCGGGAGAGGAGAGUGGAAUUCCCGGCGUAGCGGUGAAAUGCGCAGAUAUCGGGAAGAACACCCGUGGCGAAGGCGGCUCUCUGGACUGUAACUGACACUGAGGCACGAAAGCGUGGGGAGCAAACAGG
rnacentral:rRNA from 1 species